CACAGCGGAGGAACAUGUGGUUUAAUUCGAUGAUACGCGAGGAACCUUUACCGUGGCUAGAACGCAAUCGGAAUCAGGCCGAAAGGCCUGCGCCAGCGAUGGCCGGUUGCGAGGUGCUGCAUGGUUGUCGUCAGCUCGUGCCGUGAGGUGUCGGGUUAAGUCCCAUAACGAGCGCAACCCCUACUGCUAGUUGCCAGCGGGUCAUGCCGGGGACUCUAGCGGAACUGCCAGCGUAAGCUGCGAGGAAGGUGGGGAUGACGUCAAAUCAGCACGGCCCUUACGUCCAGGGCUACACACGUGUUACAAUGGCCAGUACAGAGGGCAGCUACCUGGUGACAGGAUGCUAAUCUCAAAAGCCGGUCUCAGUUCGGAUCGGAGUCUGCAACCCGACUCCGUGAAGCUGGAAUCGCUAGUAAUCGCGCAUCAGCCAUGGCGCGGUGAAUACGUUCCCGGGCCUU
rnacentral:rRNA from 1 species